CGUUAUACGCCAAAGAAUUAGUACUUUGUGCGCAGCCUCCAUUCAAACGGAUAACCGCAUCUUAACGUCUUCUGAUUCCUGCCAUAAGUCGACUAAUUUGUUGUUAAGCUAGCAGCAACCAUUCUUGACGAAGGGUAUUGUUUAUUUCAUGACUUGUUUGAACUGGGGUGUCCUUUCAUGCACUUUACGCCCAAUAGUGUCCCAUAUAUGCUCGAUAUGGUUCAAAUUCGGGCUACGAUUGGGCCAAGGAAGAUAAACCGAAUUCCAUUGGAACAAUAGAUCUUCCUCCACGACGCUAAUUUCCAACUUUGGCGAGCUCUGCACUAUAUUGGAUACGGGCGUCUGUGUGUCUGUUCGUAGGCAAAGGUCCCCGAAAUGGUAUUAUCGCACGAUAACC
rnacentral:lncRNA from 1 species